GACGAACGCUGGCGGCGUGCCUAAUACAUGCAAGUCGAGCGAAUCUUAAAGGAGCUUGCUCCUUUAAGAUGAGCGGCGGACGGGUGAGUAACACGUGGGCAACCUGCCUGUAAGACUGGGAUAACUUCGGGAAACCGGAGCUAAUACCGGAUCAUUCUUUCCCUCACAUGGGGGAAAGCUAAAAGACGGCGCAAGCUGUCACUUACAGAUGGGCCCGCGGCGCAUUAGCUAGUUGGUGAGGUAACGGCUCACCAAGGCAACGAUGCGUAGCCGACCUGAGAGGGUGAUCGGCCACAUUGGGACUGAGACACGGGCCCAAACUCCUACGGGAGGCAG
rnacentral:rRNA from 1 species